ACAUACGACCAUAGGCGCCAGAAAACACGGGAUCCCGUCCGCUCUCCCCUAGUUAACCUCGCGACCGCUGAACUAGUAGUUGGGUCGGUGACGACCAGCGAAUCCUCGGUGUUGUAUGUU
rfam:Chaetomium globosum CBS 148.51 scaffold_2 genomic scaffold, whole genome shotgun sequence.